CUAAAUUCCAAAUUGUACACAAGAAACUAAAAUUAAAAUAAUACAAGACUAACAAAGGCCAGAGGCUCCUGACUUGGGACAGGCGCAAAAAUGCGGCGGGGUUAAACAUGUUUGUGAGAUCUCAACCCUCCCCCUAUACCUCUAACCAAUGUAGAAAAGUAAACGCAUAACAAUACGCACAUUAAAAUUCAGUUCAAGAGAAGUCCGAGUCUGAUGUCAGAAGAUGUAACUAAAGAAAAUAAACAAAAUGACAAUAAUACAUAAAUAACAACAGACUACUAGCAGUUAACUGACAUGCCAGCUCCAGACUUCAAUUAAAC
rnacentral:lncRNA from 1 species